rnacentral:lncRNA from 1 species
CUUGCAAACCACCGGCCGGGAUCGCCGAGGUGUGGCCUGUUUUCAUGGCGACCAGGACGCUCUGCAUCCCCAGUAGCAGGCUGAGCCGAGGGAGGCUGCGUAUGCCCGCCCCUCUGGCUGUCGGAGCCGCACCUCUUCCUCUUCCGGCCCCCGUAGCAAUUAGGUUUCUUUGCAGGAGGUGAGAUUUUGGUACCUCUGUCCUGGCGUCCGGAGGCAGGGCCCGGGAGCAUUGAGACUAUUGCGAGAGAAAGGACCGCCGCACGGUGGUAGCGAGCGCAUCUUUUUCAUCUGGGACCUCGGAAACUGUGAUGAAGCCAGACUGCUCAUCAUUCCAGACAUCUUCAGCUGCUACACCCAGAACAAGCAUUCGAAAUAUGAACAGGAUGGUGAGCCAGAUCUUUCCAAUCAUGGUGGAGUGGAUGUGAACUUCCUCCAGAGUAUCUCCAAGGAGAUUCCAGUCCCCCAUGUUUAUUUAGUCAGCCAUCUUAGCUCUGAUCCACAUCAAAUAAGAGGCAGAUAAAUUCUUCCAUUCUGAAGGGAGCACUAUUUCUUAAAGCAAACCUAUGGUGAAAAUAUAACAAUAUGUCACUUCU